rnacentral:other from 1 species
GUAUAUCUGCGGUGUUCGUAGGAGCGAAAAACUCGUAAUCCACAAAUUGUAAAUCAGGGAGCUUAGGUCUUUCUCGUUAUGCAAGGUCUGUAUUUAUACGGAAAGUCAGAUACCCGAAAGUCGGGCACCCACCUGCUGAGGCGGGUUAAUACUUUUUCCUUUUACGGCACAGGCGGAUAUAUA